AUUUUCUAAGAACUAUUGAUUACUGGUUAUUUUCAUUAUUUUAUGUAUUUAUUUAUUUAACUACUUGUUUAUUUAUUCCAGCAUGCAGGCAUACAUCUAUAUGUGGGUGCUUUCCUCUGGCUGAAUGCUUUUGUUGUAAAAAGGGGAUAACCCACCUUAGAGCCGGUCAGCUCAACAGCUUCUACAGCUGGAUCCUUCCACCAAGUGUUUUGCAAUCCAGAGGAGGAGUGGUGAGUCACCAGAACAGCUGUCCAGGGGGGUGGUGGAGUCACUGUCCCUGGAGGUGUUCAAGAACUGUGGAGAUGUGGCACUGAGAUAGAACUUGGAUCGUGUACAUUCAUGCAUGGUGGGUCCCAUGACCAGGCAAUGGCAUAUCGUGGUAUGGUGGAAAGAAAUCUUGUCACUGGAUUAGUAGAGAGGCUGCAACAUGUGGACCUCAGGUGCCUUCAUCAGAUGUCCUGUAUCCUGUAGCUGUGAAGCUUCUGGGAAUAACCAAUUUUGAUGAGAAUGUCUCUGGUUAUCAGGAACAAUUCUUUUUUAUUCUGUAAGGAAAAG
rnacentral:lncRNA from 1 species